GAUAAACGCUGGCGGCGCACAUAAGACAUGCAAGUUGAACGGGCUUAAUCGAAAUAUUUCUCUUUUGAAGCGGUUAGUGGCGGACUGGUGAGUAACGCGUAAGGAACCUGCCUAUUAGAGGGGAAUAACAGUGAGAAAUCAUUGCUAAUACCGCAUAUGCCAUAGAUAUCACAUGAUAACAGUGGGAAAGGAGCAAUCCGCUAAUAGAUGGCCUUGCGUCUGAUUAGAUAGUUGGUGGGGUAACGGCCUACCAAGUCGACGAUCAGUAGCCGGACUGAGAGGUUGAACGGCCACAUUGGGACUGAGAUACGGCCCAGACUCCUACGGGAGGCAGCAGUCGGGAAUAUUGCGCAAUGGAGGAAACUCUGACGCAGUGACGCCGCGUAGAGGAAGAAGGUUUUCGGAUUGUAAACUAUUGUCGUUAGGGAAGAGAAAGGACAGUACCUAAGGAGGAAGCUCCGGCUAACUACGUG
rnacentral:rRNA from 1 species